rnacentral:tRNA from 1 species
GCCGAUAUAGUAUAGUGGUAAUACAGAUCCAUGGUAAGGAUCAACCCGUGGUUCAAUUCCGCGUAUCGGCACCA